rnacentral:rRNA from 1 species
GAUGAACGCUAGCUACAGGCUUAACACAUGCAAGUCGAGGGGAAACGGCAUCGAAAGCUUGCUUUUGAUGGGCGUCGACCGGCGCACGGGUGAGUAACGCGUAUCCAACCUGCCCAUCACUUGGGAAUAACCUUGCGAAAGUAAGACUAAUGCCCAAUGACAUCCCACGAAGGCAUCCGAAUGGGAUUAAAGAUUUAUCGGUGAUGGAUGGGGAUGCGUCUGAUUAGCUUGUUGGCGGGGUGACGGCCCACCAAGGCAACGAUCAGUAGGGGUUCUGAGAGGAAGGUCCCCCACAUUGGAACUGAGACACGGUCCAAACUCCUACGGGAGGCAGCAGUGAGGAAUAUUGGUCAAUGGGCGAGAGCCUGAACCAGCCAAGUAGCGUGCAGGAUGACGGCCCUAUGGGUUGUAAACUGCUUUUAUAAGGGAAUAAAGUGGGCCACGUGUGACUUUUUGCAUGUACCUUAUGAAUAAGGACCGGCUAAUUCCGUG